rnacentral:rRNA from 1 species
CGAACGCUGGCGGCGUGCCUAAUACAUGCAAGUCGAGCGAGCGGAACUAACAGAUUUACUUCGGUAAUGACGUUAGGAAAGCGAGCGGCGGAUGGGUGAGUAACACGUGGGGAACCUGCCCCAUAGUCUGGGAUACCACUUGGAAACAGGUGCUAAUACCGGAUAAGAAAGCAGAUCGCAUGAUCAGCUUUUAAAAGGCGGCGUAAGCUGUCGCUAUGGGAUGGCCCCGCGGUGCAUUAGCUAGUUGGUAAGGUAAAGGCUUACCAAGGCGAUGAUGCAUAGCCGAGUUGAGAGACUGAUCGGCCACAUUGGGACUGAGACACGGCCCAAACUCCUACGGGAGGCAGCAGUAGGGAAUCUUCCACAAUGGACGCAAGUCUGAUGGAGCAACGCCGCGUGAGUGAAGAAGGUUUUCGGAUCGUAAAGCUCUGUUGUUGGUGAAGAAGGAUAGAGGUAGUAACUGGCCUUUAUUUGACGGUAAUCAACCAGAAAGUCACGGCUAACUACGUGCCAGCAGCCGCGGUAAUACGUAGGUGGCAAGCGUUGUCCGGAUUUAUUGGGCGUAAAGCGAGCGCAGGCGGAAGAAUAAGUCUGAUGUGAAAGCCCUCGGCUUAACCGAGGAACUGCAUCGGAAACUGUUUUUCUUGAGUGCAGAAGAGGAGAGUGGAACUCCAUGUGUAGCGGUGGAAUGCGUAGAUAUAUGGAAGAACACCAGUGGCGAAGGCGGCUCUCUGGUCUGCAACUGACGCUGAGGCUCGAAAGCAUGGGUAGCGAACAGGAUUAGAUACCCUGGUAGUCCAUGCCGUAAACGAUGAGUGCUAAGUGUUGGGAGGUUUCCGCCUCUCAGUGCUGCAGCUAACGCAUUAAGCACUCCGCCUGGGGAGUACGACCGCAAGGUUGAAACUCAAAGGAAUUGACGGGGGCCCGCACAAGCGGUGGAGCAUGUGGUUUAAUUCGAAGCAACGCGAAGAACCUUACCAGGUCUUGACAUCUAGUGUCAUUUGUAGAGAUACAAAGUUCCCUUCGGGGACGCUAAGACAGGUGGUGCAUGGCUGUCGUCAGCUCGUGUCGUGAGAUGUUGGGUUAAGUCCCGCAACGAGCGCAACCCUUGUUAUUAGUUGCCAGCAUUAAGUUGGGCACUCUAAUGAGACUGCCGGUGACAAACCGGAGGAAGGUGGGGAUGACGUCAAGUCAUCAUGCCCCUUAUGACCUGGGCUACACACGUGCUACAAUGGGCAGUACAACGAGAAGCGAGCCUGCGAAGGCAAGCGAAUCUCUGAAAGCUGUUCUCAGUUCGGACUGCAGUCUGCAACUCGACUGCACGAAGCUGGAAUCGCUAGUAAUCGCGGAUCAGCACGCCGCGGUGAAUACGUUCCCGGGCCUUGUACACACCGCCCGUCACACCAUGGGAGUCUGCAAUGCCCAAAGCCGGUGGCCUAACCUUCGGGAAGGAGCCGUCUAAGGCAGGGCAGAUGACUGGGGUGA